CUACGGGUUGCUGCAGUGGGGAAUAUUGCACAAUGGGGGAAACCCUGAUGCAGCAACGCCGCGUGGAGGAUGACGCAUUUCGGUGUGUAAACUCCUUUUAUAUCCCAAGAUAAUGACGGUAGGAUAUGAAUAAGCACCGGCUAACUCCGUGCCAGCAGCCGCGGUAAUACGGAGGGUGCAAGCGUUACUCGGAAUCACUGGGCGUAAAGGGCGCGUAGGCGGGUUGUCAAGUCUUGAGUGAAAUCCAACGGCUCAACCGUUGAACUGCUUGAGAAACUGGCAGCCUAGAGUAAGGGAGAGGUAGAUGGAAUUGGUGGUGUAGGGGUAACAUCCGUAGAGAUCACCAGGAAUACCCAUUGCGAAGGCGAUCUGCUGGAACUUUACUGACGCUGAGGCGCGAAAGCGUGGGGAGCAAACAGGAUUAGAUACCCCGGUAGUC
rnacentral:rRNA from 1 species